AGGCGCGUAGCUCAGUUGGUUAGAGCGCUUGCUCGACACGCAAGAGGUCAGCGGUUCGAAUCCGCUCGUGCCUACCA
rnacentral:tRNA from 1 species